rnacentral:rRNA from 1 species
GAAAAGAAACCAACAGGGAUUACCUCAGUAACGGCGAGUGAAGCGGUAACAGCUCAAAUUUGAAAUCUGGGUCUUUCAGGCUCCGAGUUGUAAUUUGUAGAAGAUGCUUUGGGUGCGGCCCCGGUCUAAGUUCCUUGGAACAGGACGUCAUAGAGGGUGAGAAUCCCGUAUGUGAUCGGUGGCUUGCGCCCGUGUAAAGCUCUUUCGACGAGUCGGGUUGUUUGGGAAUGCAGCUCUAAAUGGGUGGUAAAUUUCAUCUAAAGCUAAAUAUUGGCCAGAGACCGAUAGCGCACAAGUAGAGUGAUCGAAAGAUGAAAAGGACUUUGGAAAGAGAGUUAAACAGUACGUGAAAUUGUUGAAAGGGAAGCGCUUGCAACCAGACUUGCGCGGGGUUGAUCAUCCGGGGUUCUCCCCGGUGCACUCGGCCUCGCUCAGGCCAGCAUCGGUUUCGGUGGUUGGAUAAAGGCCUUGGGAAUGUGACUUCUUUCGGGGAGUGUUAUAGCCCUCGGUGCAAUGCAGCCUACCGGGACCGAGGACCGCGCUUCGGCUAGGAUGCUGGCGUAAUGGUUGUAAGCGACCCGUCUUGAAACACGGACCAAGGAGUCUAACAUCUAUGCGAGUGUUUGGGUGUCAAACCCAUACGCGUAAUGAAAGUGAACGGAGGUGAGAACCCUUAAGGGUGCAUCAUCGACCGAUCCUGAUGUCUUCGGAUGGAUUUGAGUAAGAGCAUAGCUGUUGGGACCCGAAAGAUGGUGAACUAUGCCUGAAUAGGGUGAAGCCAGAGGAAACUCUGGUGGAGGCUCGCAGCGGUUCUGACGUGCAAAUCGAUCGUCAAAUUUGGGCAUAGGGGCGAAAGACUAAUCGAACCAUCUAGUAGCU